AAAGUACUCCCUCCGUCCCAAAAUUCUUGUCUUAGAUUUGUCUAGAUACGGAUGUAUCAAGUCACAUUUUAGUCUUAGAUACAUCCGUAUCUAGACAAAUCUAAGACAAGAAAUUUGGGACAGAGGGAGUAGUUC
rfam:Triticum aestivum genome assembly, contig: Triticum_aestivum_CS42_TGACv1_scaffold_254394_3DL